GAUGAACGCUGGCGGCGUGCCUAAUACAUGCAAGUAGAACGCUGAAGGAGGAGCUUGCUCUUCUGGAUGAGUUGCGAACGGGUGAGUAACGCGUAGGUAACCUGCCUGGUAGCGGGGGAUAACUAUUGGAAACGAUAGCUAAUACCGCAUGACAACAGUUAUUGCAUGAUAACUGUUUAAAAGGGGCAACUGCUCCACUACCAGAUGGACCUGCGUUGUAUUAGCUAGUUGGUGAGGUAACGGCUCACCAAGGCGACGAUACAUAGCCGACCUGAGAGGGUGGGCGGCCACACUGGGAGGGAGACACGGCACAGACUCCCACGGGAGGGAGCAGGAGGGAAUCUUCGGCAAGGGACGGAAGUCAGACCGAGCAACGCCGAGGGAGUGAAGAAGGUUGUCGGAUCGUAAAGCUCGGUUGUAAGAGAAGAACGAGUGUGAGAGUGGAAAGUUCACACUGUGACGGUAACUUACCAGAAAGGGACGGCUAACUACGUG
rnacentral:rRNA from 1 species